GACGAACGCUGGCGGCGUGCUUAACACAUGCAAGUCGAACGGAAAGGCCCUGCUUUUGUGGGGUGCUCGAGUGGCGAACGGGUGAGUAACACGUGAGUAACCUGCCCUUGACUUUGGGAUAACUUCAGGAAACUGGGGCUAAUACCGGAUAGGAGCUCCUGCUGCAUGGUGGGGGUUGGAAAGUUUCGGCGGUUGGGGAUGGACUCGCGGCUUAUCAGCUUGUUGGUGAGGUAGUGGCUUACCAAGGCUUUGACGGGUAGCCGGCCUGAGAGGGUGACCGGCGACAUUGGGACUAAGGGACGGACCAGACUCCUACGGGAGGCAACAGUCGGAAAUAUUGCGCAAUGGGCGGAAGCCAGAUGCAACAGCGCCGCGUGCGGGAUAACGGCCUUCGAGUUAUAAACCGCUUUCGCCGGUGACGAAGCGUGAGUGACGGUAAUGGGUAAGGAAGCACCGGCUAACUACGUG
rnacentral:rRNA from 1 species